rnacentral:rRNA from 1 species
UACGUAGGGGGCAAGCGUUGUCCGGAUUCACUGGGCGUAAAGAGCACGUAGGCGGUUAUUUAAGUCAGGUGUGAAAGUUUUCGGCUCAACCGGAAAAGUGCACUUGAAACUGGAUGACUUGAGAAUCGGAGAGGUAAGCGGAAUUCCUAGUGUAGCGGUGAAAUGCGUAGAGAUUAGGAAGAACACCGGUGGCGAAGGCGGCUUACUGGACGAUUUCUGACGCUGAGGUGCGAAAGCGUGGGGAGCAA